CCCUUAGAUGUCCUGGGCUGCACGCGCGCUACACUGAUGUGUCCAGUAAGCACCUAACCUCUUCCGAAAGGAACGGGUAACCUUUGCAAAGCACAUCGUGAUGGGGAUAGAUUAUUGCAAUUAUUAGUCUUGAACGAGGAAUUCCUAGUAAGCACAAGUCAUCAGCUUGUGUUGAUUACGUCCCUGCCCUUUGUACACACCGCCCGUCGCUCCUACCGAUUGAGCGAUCCGGUAAAUGUUUUGGAUUGGUGCCGGGGCGGCUAGCUGCCGGUCGCUACGAAAUUUUGUGAACCUUAUCGCUUAGAGGAAGGAAAAGUCGUAACA
rnacentral:rRNA from 1 species